rnacentral:rRNA from 1 species
GAAGUCUAACAUGUGCGCGAGUCAUUGGGCUACAAACCCAAAGGCGUAAUGAAAGUGAAGGAAGCUUUGCUUUCUGAGGGAGGAUGGGCGUGUCAGCCGUACACCGGCGGCGCCCCGCACUCCCGAGGCGUCUCUUUCUCAUUGCGAGUGGAGGCGGACUCAGAGCGUUCACGUUAGGACCCGAAAGAUGGUGAACUAUGCCUGGUCAGGACGAAGCCAGGGGAAACCCUGGUGGAGGUCCGUAGCGAUUCUGACGUGCAAAUCGAUCGUCAGAGCUGGGUAUAGGGGCGAAAGACUAAUCGAACCAUCUAGUAGCUGGUUCCCUCCGAAGUUUCCCUCAGGAUAGCUGGCACCAAGGUGAGACGAGUCUCAUCUGGUAAAGCGAAUGAUUAGAGGCCUUGGGGCCGAAACGACCUCAACCUAUUCUCAAACUUUAAAUAGAUGAGAACUCCGGCUUGCUUAACAGUGAAGCCGGAGAUUCGGAUCAAGGUGCCCAGUGGGCCAAUUUUG